rnacentral:rRNA from 1 species
ACGAGGCACUACGGUGCUGAAGCAACAAAUGCCCUGCUUCCAGGAAAAGCCUCUAAGCAUCAGGUAACAUCAAAUCGUACCCCAAACCGACACAGGUGGUCAGGUAGAGAAUACCAAGGCGCUUGAGAGAACUCGGGUGAAGGAACUAGGCAAAAUGGUGCCGUAACUUCGGGAGAAGGCACGCUGACACGUAGGUGAAGUGAUUUACUCAUGGAGCUGAAGUCAGUCGAAGAUACCAGCUGGCUGCAACUGUUUAUUAAAAACACAGCACUGUGCAAACACGAAAGUGGACGUAUACGGUGUGACGCCUGCCCGGUGCCGGAAGGUUAAUUGAUGGGGUCAGCGCAAGCGAAGCUCCUGAUCGAAGCCCCGGUAAACGGCGGCCGUAACUAUAACGGUCCUAAGGUAGCGAAAUUCCUUGUCGGGUAAGUUCCGACCUGCACGAAUGGCGUAAUGAUGGCCAGGCUGUCUCCACCCGAGACUCAGUGAAAUUGAACUCGCUGUGAAGAUGCAGUGUACCCGCGGCAAGACGGAAAGACCCCGUGAACCUUUACUAUAGCUUGACACUGAACAUUGAGCCUUGAUGUGUAGGAUAGGUGGGAGGCUUUGAAGUGUGGACGCCAGUCUGCAUGGAGCCGACCUUGAAAUACCACCCUUUAAUGUUUGAUGUUCUAACGUGGACCCGUUACCCGGGUUGCGGACAGUGUCUGGUGGGUAGUUUGACUGGGGCGGUCUCCUCCUAAAGAGUAACGGAGGAGCACGAAGGUUGGCUAAUCCUGGUCGGACAUCAGGAGGUUAGUGCAAUGGCAUAAGCCAGCUUGACUGCGAGCGUGACGGCGCGAGCAGGUGCGAAAGCAGGUCAUAGUGAUCCGGUGGUUCUGAAUGGAAGGGCCAUCGCUCAACGGAUAAAAGGUACUCCGGGGAUAACAGGCUGAUACCGCCCAAGAGUUCAUAUCGACGGCGGUGUUUGGCACCUCGAUGUCGGCUCAUCACAUCCUGGGGCUGAAGUAGGUCCCAAGGGUAUGGCUGUUCGCCAUUUAAAGUGGUACGCGAGCUGGGUUUAGAACGUCGUGAGACAGUUCGGUCCCUAUCUGCCGUGGGCGCUGGAGAACUGAGGGGGGCUGCUCCUAGUACGAGAGGACCGGAGUGGACGCAUCACUGGUGUUCGGGUUGUCAUGCCAAUGGCACUGCCCGGUAGCUAAAUGCGGAAGAGAUAAGUGCUGAAAGCAUCUAAGCACGAAACUUGCCCCGAGAUGAGUUCUCCCUGAGACUUUAAGUCUCCUGAAGGAACGUUGAAGACGACGACGUUGAUAGGCCGGGUGUGUAAGCGCAGCGAUGCGUUGAGCUAACCGGUACUAAUGAACCGUGAGGCUUAACC